CCGAAGAAGAAGUUCUUCUACUGGAAGCGAGACGUGACGAAGAAAGAACAUGCAUCUAUCAGUCAUUACUAAAGAUAACCAUUUGGAGCGAAACUGGUUGCUGUCUGGGUUUGGAUGUCCUCUCUGCCCUCAUUUUAAGACUGCGAGUGAUGUGGUGAUUGAGAGGCACUUAAGGAACCACACUGCAAAUGCAAUACAUUUCCAGGGAUUGUGGAUACAGUUGAGAGAGGAGGGGUUCUGGCCGUGUUUUCCAGGGAUCAGAUAAAGGUAAUUAUUAAACAUAUUUCGCUGUUAAUAAUUACAUCCUCUUUCAUUGAUUUCAUGUUUGCCCUUUACUUUUUUCUUUCAGA